rnacentral:snRNA from 1 species
AUUUGCAACGCAAGUCAUUCAAGACCUUUCGCAAGAUCUUGAGUACAAUUUUUGGGAAACUCUGUUUAUUUUUUAAACAGGGUG